GACGAACGCUGGCGGCGUGCUUAACACAUGCAAGUCGAACGGAAAGGCCCUGCUUUUGUGGGGUGCUCGAGUGGCGAACGGGUGAGUAACACGUGAGUAACCUGCCCUUGACUUUGGGAUAACUUCAGGAAACUGGGGCUAAUACCGGAUAGGAGCUCCUGCUGCAUGGGGGGGGUUGGAAAGUUUCGGCGGUUGGGGCUGGACUCGCGGCAUAUCAGCUUGUUGGUGGGGUAGUGGCUUACCAAGGCUUUGACGGGUAGCCGGCCUGAGAGGGUGACCGGCCACAUUGGGACUGCGAUACGGCCCAGACUCCUACGGGAGGCAGCAGUGGGGAAUAUUGCACAAUGGGCGGGAGCCUGAUACAGCAACGCCGCGUGCGGGAUGACGGCCUUCGGGUUGUAAACCGCUUUCGCCUGUGACGAAGCGGGAGUGACGGUAAUGGGUAAAGAAGCACCGGCUAACUACGUG
rnacentral:rRNA from 1 species